ensembl:lncRNA
CUCGUCCAUGGUGGUCAGGCAGGGAGAUUCAGGCAGGGAGAGUCUCGUCCAUGGUGGACAGGCAGGGGAAGUCUCGUCCAUGGUGGACAGGCAGGGAGAGUCUCGUACAUGGUGGACAGGCAGGGAGAGUCUCGUACAUGGUGGACAGGCAGGGAGAGUCUCGUCCAUGGUGGACAGGCAGGGAGAGUCUCGUCCAUGGUGGACAGGCAGGGAGAGUCUCGUCCAUGGUGGACAGGCAGGGAGAGUCUCGUCCAUGGUGGACAGGCAGGGAGAGUCUCGUACAUGGUGGACAGGCAGGGAGAGUCUCGUACAUGGUGGACAGGCAGGGAGAGUCUCGUACAUGGUGGACAGGCAGGGAGAGUCUCGUACAUGGUGGACAGGCAGGGAGAGUCUCGUACAUGGUGGACAGGCAGGGAGAGUCUCGUACAUGGUGGACAGGCAGGGAGAGUCUCGUACAUGGUGGACAGGCAGGGAGAGUCUCGUACAUGGUGGACAGCAAACCCUCAACCUUCUGGCCUGUUGGCCCUGCGUGGCAUCAGCUGUGUCACAAAAGAAUGCUGAAGUUGUAAAGACGAUAUGUCCAUGAUUAUAAACACAGGCUUGCUACAGUUUAUUUAUGGUUGUAAUCAUCAUUGUUGUACAUUUUAGAAGGGGGGGGGGGGGUUGGUCCAUCCAGCUAUGUGACAUUGUUUGGUAUGUUUCAUGUGUUUUCUCUUCACGUAUUUAUUAGGGUGUUUAGUAGAGCAGCAAGUCAGCUGGACUUCCUUAGUGGUUACCUGGGUUACCUGGGUUGUUUCCAGACACGUUGUCAAGGUGAUACAGGUGUAAAUAGCUGACUGGACAUUGAUCUGAUUAAUGAGUACGAGAGUGUAUUCACUAGGAAAUAAACUGAAGCAAACAGGGCAAAACGGGGUUGUAUCCACCUGAAUAUGUCAAAUAGAAAUGAGUUGGCACUAAUGAAUAUACCCCAUGCCACAUGAUUCAGGUUGUAUCUGUAACACUGGUUACACCACUGAAAUGAGUUUGCACUAAUG